rnacentral:rRNA from 1 species
UCGAGAAUCUUCGGCAAUGGGCGCAAGCCUGACCGAGCGACGCCGCGUGGAGGACGAAGGCCUUCGGGUUGUAAACUCCUGUCGAGGGGAAAGAAGGCCCGCAAGGGCUUGACUGAUCCCUGGAGGAAGCACGGGCUAAGUUCGUGCCAGCAGCCGCGGUAAGACGAACCGUGCGAACGUUAUUCGGAAUCACUGGGCUUAAAGCGCGUGUAGGCGGGAGGGCACGUCCGUCGCUGAAAUCCCCCGGCUCAACCGGGGAACGGGCGCGGAUACGACCUUCCUGGAGGGGCGUAGGGGGACCUGGAACUUCCGGUGGAGCGGUGAAAUGCGUUGAGAUCGGAAGGAACGCCCGUGGCGAAAGCGAGGUCCUGGACGCCUACUGACGCUGAGACGCGAAAGCCAGGGGAGCGAACGGGAUUAGAUACCCCUGUAGUCC